AGCACCCAGGGCUCCGGCUUUUUAUCUUACCAAAGAGAGGGAUGGGGCUGACUUGAUCAGAGCAUGCGAGGGCGYGCGCGGGGAGGAAACCCUGGGCACCGGGAAACCUCUUUAAUCCAUCAGCGAAAGGCGCAACGAGAAGCCGAAGCUGGGAGCAGAAGCCAGAUAAAUCCAAAUUAGAAACUAGGCCCCCACUUAAUUUUUUUCUUUUUUUUAGAUCAGCAGGAGCAAUUAGCCGCCGAACCAAGCUCCCGGCGAAGCGAUGUGGCCUCAUCUCCUGACGUCUGUCCGAUCGAUGCCGGGUAAUACGCUUCGGCUGAGCAACUCGAUCCCGGUGUAGGAGAAAACCGAGCGGGCCGAGCGACGCGGGCAGUCGGAUCAAGCAACGCGGCGACCCCUUCCAGCCUUUGCCCUGCCCGUAAGUGGUCCGCGGCUCCGCGCUCCAUCCAGGCUCCGUAGGGAUCAGCUGGCAAAUGCAGGUGCGAGGCAGAAAACGGAGCUUUCUCGUGCCGGCUUCGAGGAUGCUGCAGCUGAAAACGCCGUUUCCAGGCCGCUCGGUGCGGGAGAAAGCCAUUUGCAGAGUAAAGACUGUUUGCCGGAGCGAAUGCCACUGAUUUCCGCUCACCGGUACCAAUUCGGCAUCAAAACGUCCGUGCAACCAGCAGACUGCAGCCACGUCGGCCCAAACGUCCUGGCUCUCUGCGGGUACUUACCCACCUGGAAAUGUCGCUUCGUCGGUCACCGCUUCGUCGCGGCUGAGGUCUGCCGCACCAAGCAACGCUAUCGGAGUYGGGGUUUGCUCGCCCAGUUUUGCCUGUGCUUGCGUCAACACCCAGCCGCGGCGCU
rnacentral:lncRNA from 1 species